rnacentral:lncRNA from 1 species
UUGGCCAUUUUAGCUUCUCACUUUCAGUCACCAACCAAUUUUUUUGUUUGGUAUUGCAUCUUCCUUCCUUUUGAGUCUUUGAUAUUGCAACUCCAGUUUCAAUCACCAACCAAUUCUUCAACUGCUCGAAUUUUCUGCUGAAAAUUUUGGUCAUCCUCUCUUUGUGAUGGACAUUGCAAUUGCAAUUGGAGGUGCUCUUCUAGCACCUGCCUUUAAGUCUUUGUUUAAUAAGUUAGGCUCCCAGGAUUUGCUCAAUUACGCCCGUAAAAGACGUGUGCUGACUCAAAUCAACAAGUGGAAGGAGAUGUUGGAGAGAAUUGAUGGGGUUCUUGAGGAUGCAGAGGAGAAGCAGAUGGAGAGCAGGUCGGUGAAGAUGUGGGUAAGCGAUUUGAGGAAGCUGGCGUAUGAUUUGGAGGACAUUCUUGAUGAGUUUGAUUUUGAGGCUCGUCGAUCCAAGUUGAAAGCUAAACCUAUGACUGGUUCAAGUAGGGUACGAAAGCUCACCCCUAAUAUUCGUGCUGUUAAAUUCAAUAAAAAGUUGAUUUCCAAGAUAAAGGCAACUACUCCCCGAUUAGAAGAGAUCACCUCGCGAAGAAAUGAACUAGAUUUGAGUGAAAGGCCCGUUAAAUUGUGGGAAAGAAUUCCUGCGACGUGCUUGGUGAAUCACGCCGAGAUUUAUGGGAGGGAGAAAGAUAAGAAGGCGAUUCUUGAACUUUUGAAUUCUGAAUCGACUGAUGGAAGGGUCGCUCUGAUUUCUAUAAUUGGACUGGGAGGUAUUGGUAAGACAACUCUAGGGCAACUUAUCUUUAAUGAAGCUGGAAAGAAGUUUGAUUUGACGGCUUGGGUUUCUGUCGGUGAAGAUUUUGACGUGGUUAGACUUACAAAAACAGUUCUUNNNNNNNNNNNNNNNNNNNNNNNNNNNNNNNNNNNNNNNNNNNNNNNNNNNNNNNNNNNNNNNNNNNNNNNNNNNNNNNNNNNNNNNNNNNNNNNNNNNNNNNNNNNNNNNNNNNNNNNNNNGAAACUUUCUUCUCCCCUUUGAGAAUGGGGCAAAAGAAAGUAGAAUUAUCGUCACAACUCGCAAUCUUGGCGUUUCACGGACGAUUGGUGCUAUUCAAAGUUAUACACUUAGAGUGUUGGAGAAUGAUGAUUGCCUGUCUGUGUUUGCCCAUCACGCUCUUGGAGUAACAAAUUUUGAGGAGCACUUAGAUCUAGAAGCAAUAGGUAAGAAGAUUGUGGAAAGGUGUCAAGGCUUACCUUUGGCAGCUAAAGCUAUUGGAGGUCUCUUACGAGGUCAAUCAACUCGCGAUGCAUGGGAACAAGUGCUAAACAGCCGCAUUUGGGAGGAGAAAAGCGACAUUCUUCCAGCAUUAAAGUUGAGCUAUCACCAUCUUCCAUCUCAUCUGAAACAAUGUUUUGCUUAUUGUGCAAUUUUUCCAAAAGAUUACGAAUUCGAUGAGGAUGAGUUGGUUCUACACUGGAUGGCAGAGGGAUUUCUACAGCACGCACAGGAAAUGAAGCAAAUGAAACGCUGGGGUCAUCGAUAUUUCCAUGAUUUAUUAUGGAGAUCCUUUUUUCAACAAUCUACUUACAAUGAAUCACGAUAUGUAAUGCAUGACCUACUCAAAGAUCUAGCUAAAUCUGUAAGUGGAGAAAUAUGCCUUCAUUUGGAUGAUGAUGAGUUGAAGGGCAUAAAAUCACAUGCAAACGUUCGCCAUUCAGCGUUCGCUUGUCAUGAGUGUGACAGGUACCAAAGAUUUGAAGACUUUUAUGAGAUGAGUAAUCUGCGAACAUUCUUCGCAUUAUCCACUGAUCAAUGGCGAGAUAAUUUUUUAUCUAUUAGAGUGGUGCAUGACCUAGUGCCAAAACUGAAACGUUUAAGGGUGCUAUCACUAGCUCAUUAUUCGUUUGAAGAGUUUCCAAGUUCAAUUGGCGCCUUAAAGCAUUUACGAUAUCUUGACUUGUCUUACAACAGUGAGAUUAAAAGAUUACCUAAUUCACUGAGUGAUCUUCAAAACUUGCAGACACUGAAGUUAUGUUCGUGUGAGAAUCUUAUUGAGUUGCCCACAGGCAUUGGCGCCUUAAUCAAUUUGGCGCAUCUCGAUCUAGAAUUUACGCAUGCUUUGCAGGAGAUGCCAUUAGGGGUAGCAAAUUUGACAAAUCUUCAAACAUUGUCUAAGUUUAUCGUGGGAAAAGGAAGUAAUUGCCUUGGAAUUAGAGAGCUAAUGAAUCUCCCUCAUCUAGAAGGACAACUUAGUAUUGAAAAGCUACAGAAUGUGGCAAGGAUUGCAGAUGCAAAUCUCGUUGAUUUAAAGAAGAUUGAGAAUCUUGGUGAUUUGGCCUUGGUAUGGACCCGUAAAUUGCGUGAUUCACCAUGCGAAGAGGAUCAUGAAUUCCAGGUUCUCAACUUGCUAGAACCUCAUCAAAAGUUGGAAAGGCUUUCGGUUCGGUUUUAUGGCGGUAAGGAAUUUCCAUUGUGGAUAGGGGAUCCUGCAUUCACAAAUAUGGUGGCUCUAAACCUUUGGGAUUGUCAGAAUAUUACCUCGCUGCCACCACUAGGUAGACUAUGUAAACUGAAAUGGCUGAGCAUCAAAGGCAUGGAUGAACUGCUAGAAGUAGGGCUUGAGCUUUCCCCGUCUCUUGAGAUUCUAGAAAUUGAGGAUAUGUUGAAGUUGAAGCAAUGGGCUCACUCUGAUGACGUCAAUGUAGAGGUUACAAGAAAAUUUCCUAGACUACGUAAAAUUUGGAUAGGAAAUUGUCCUAAAUUGGUUGUGACAUUGCCUACCUCCCUUCCUUCCCUUGAUGAAUUGUACAUUGGUAGAUGUCAAGAUAUUAUUCUCGAAAGUGUGCAUGAUCUAUGUUCCCUUCAAACCUUGUCCAUUUGCAGUAUUUCAGCGCUUGAAAAUUUGCAUCAAGUGGUUGCGCAGUCCUUCGUGGCGCUAAAGCAUCUGUGGAUUCGUGAUUGCAGCCAAUUGAUACACCUGUGGCGGGGUUCAACUAAUUUAGACAAACUUUCUAGCUUGAAAUCUUUACAGAUCGAAGGGUGUCAGAAGCUAGUGUCAUUGGUAGGAGGAGAAGAAGGGAAUUUGCCUUGCAAUCUUGAAAUUUUAGUGAUAAGGGAAUGCGAUGGAUUGGAGAUUCUGCCAAAUGGGUUGCAAACCCUCACAUCUCUUAGAGAGAUGAAUAUUCAACGGUGCCGAAACCUUGUGUCCUUCCCAUCUGCAGGUUUACCUUGUAGUCUUAAAAGUCUCCAAAUCCACUAUUGUGAUUCUCUGGAGUCCUUGCCUAAGGGCAUUGUGCAUGAUAGUAACGCCAGGAAUGAGAUGUCUCAUCUUGAGGUUGUGGGUGUCAAUAGCUGUCCAUCUCUUACAUCGGUUCUAGUUGGUGAAUUUCCCUAUUCAAUUAAAAAAAUUGCAAUUUGCUUUUGGACGACACAGCUAUUGGAGUCGUUUCAUAAUAGGUUUUCGCAUCUCACCACAUUAAUAAUAUAUGGGUCUGAGUUGGAGUCUUUCCCAGAAAGUGGAUUGGCCAUCCCCAACCUUAGGGAUUUAAUCAUACGAAAAUGUGAAAAUUUGAGGUUGCUUCCCAAUCAAAUCCAAAAUCUCACAUCUCUUCUCAAGUUAGCGAUAACUAAUUGUGCAGGUUUGGUGUCCUUUUCGGAUGAGGGUUUACCCCCAAACCUUACUUAUUUAUUCAUAUGGAGUUGUGAGAAUUUGAGAUUUCUUCCCAAUCAAAUGCAAAAUCUUACAUCUCUUCAACGUUUACUAGUAAGUAACUGUGGAGGUCUGGUGUCCUUUCCAGAUGGCGGUUUGCCCCCAAAACUAGGUAGUCUUACAAUUUCGCGUUGCAAGAAGCUGAAACAGCCAAUGUCAGAGUGGAUACUCAAUAGACUCACCUCUCUCACAAUCAGAGGGCCAUGUCCAAGUACAGAUAUGGAUUCCUUCCCAGAGGAGAAGGGCCUACUGCUUCCCUCUUCCCUAACCUCUCUUAAGAUCGAAGAUUUUAAAAAUCUGAAAUCAAUAUCCAGGGGCAUUCACCAUCUCACCUCUCUUGAUACAUUAGUAAUUCGAAAGUGCCCUAAACUCCAGUCCUUUCCCAAGGAAGGCCUUCCGAGCACGCUUGAAAGGUUGGCAAUCUUCGAGUGCCCCCUCCUGGAAAGACGAUGCAGAAAAGAGAAAGGAGACUAUUGGCGCUUUAUUGCCAAUAUCCCCUACCAUAAAAUAAAAUGAGGUAUAAUCUUUUUACUUUUGCUUGCAGCUUAAACUAUAACUGAUAUAUGCAACAUUUUGAAGCCAAAAUAGAAUAGAUAUAAAAAAAUUAAUUGCAUUCAAUUAUGUGGUGUUUCAAGUUUCAACCAUAUUACCACAUUCUGUUCAGAAUGGCGGUUGAGAAUGAAUUGGUGGUUGAGAAUGAAUUACAUGUUCUGUUCAGUUGGUUCUAACUCAUAAUGCAUAAAUUGGAAAAGUUUCUAUAGGUUUUAUUCUUUCAUUGUUCCGACACUGACAUGAGCUGAUUUUAUACAUAUCAAAUCUUGGCUGCAAAUAAUGCAAUUGUUUCUUCAGGUCUGCAAAAGCCGUGACUGCUUAGGCCAGGAUCGAGAUUGUCAUAAUCGUCUCAAAUCCAAUCCCUGCUGGUAAGGAUAACGGUUUCAUGGAUUCUUAGCAUUUCUAAUCCUAGGAGGGGUGUAUGGGGGAGGCCUGUUGGUCGGGUUUAGAUGGAUUAGUUAUGUUAAGUUUUUCAUGUUUUUAAUAAUAAAAUUUAAUUUUCAAAAAAAAAAAAAAAAAANNNNNNNNNNNNNNUCUUGUUUUUGCUACAUAUGACUACAAUGAGCAGUUGUUGACAAUUUAUCAGAGAAGAAUUCUGUUUCCUAUGUUGAGAUACUUAUAUGAGCAUAUUUGUUUAUUUAUUGACAAAGAUUUAAUGCUCUGGAAGUAUUAUUUAAAGUGAAGAAAGUUUACAGACAUUGGUUGAGAAUUUUUCAGAUGGAAAUUAUCCCUUUUUUUUUAACUGGAAUAGGGUCCGUCCUUCCUACAAAACAUCUAGUCAAGAGUCAACUGAUCUCAAAUGACUUGCUAUUCAUGCAAACAACAGCUCGUCUGCACUGAGAUGCAAAUAACUAUAUUGGCAAUGUGACUUUAUGGAGCAAAAUCUGAUUCUAAAUGAAAAAAUUACAUCAAAAUAAUCUGUAUGUUUCAAAAUCUAAUAAUAAUUUAUUUUCUUUUUCUUUAUGGUUUGUUGAUUAUGAAAUUUUUGGAAGAGGUUUGCCAAGAAGAGAGUGGUGAGUAAGUGAGAUUGUCUUGCAGGCUGAAAGGCAGGCACCUCAUGUCCAGCCCCUCUCACAGUAGCAUAAGUAAUGUCUCCUUUAUAAAUCUCAGUAUACCCACCAACUUGAAACACAAACAUUCAAACACAAACACAACCAGAAUUCUUAUAAUCUGAUGUUCUGUUAGAGUAUGAAAAGCCUACUCCAACAGGACACUCCAGAAACAGAACAUUUGCAACUGAAAAAAAAAAAAAAGAAAAAUUAAAAUUAAAAUAUGCCCAAAAAGAUUUAUUGAAAUGUGCAUGAGAAAUGUAAUUGUUGGCACACUAUUAAUUUAAAUUUUGAAAAUUAAUUUUUCAGAGGGAAUUCAUUAUUUUUUAUAAAUAUUAUUAUUAUUAUUACAAACAGAUAGUCCAAUUCUUUAAGUUAUUUCAAAAGUAAAAUAAUUAAGGAAUUACCAUUAUUCCAUGAAAAUCUGUUCUUGUAAAGUGUUUUGCCAUCACUAUAUACUCGAAAUGGUCCAAGCUCUUGCAUCAACCCAUAAGCCAGAGAUGAACAACCAGGGCCUGUAAAAAUAUUAAUGAUUGCUUUAAAUAACAGACAGUAAUAUUAUACAUUCAAAUUAAAAUUUAACAUAAUAAAAAGAAUACUAUUUUCAGGAAAUAAAUAAAUUUAGAACACAAAAGGGAGAAAAAUGGAAAAAGAAUACACUAAAUACCUCCAUUUAGCCACAGAAGAAGAGGCAAAGAUUUCUUAGAAAUUUCUUGAGCUUCAGCAAAAUAAUAAUAUAAGGCUUUUCCAGCUAAUUUAUCCACAGUAACAUAACCUCCAUAUUGUGAAAACUUAACUUGAGGUUGGCCAGCCAAUCUUUUGAUCCUAUCUUUUUCUUUAUCUUUUUCAUUUUCUUGAUUUAUAGUAAUAAUAGAAUCAAUUGUCCUAAAGUUGCUUGUGUCCAUACCAGAAUUCCCAUUAAGCUUGGAUUUGUAAAGAUUGCCAAGAACUUCACUUUGCCUCUUGCUAUGGCUCUGAGAUGUUAAAUAAGAAAAAAUGAAAAAGAACAGGAAUAUCAAACAUGGGUUUUUCCCCAUUGCAGGAAAAGGUUUUAGGGUUUUUGAUUUUUUGGAAUUUUGUUUCUUGAAUCCAAAUAAUGUGUUUAUAUAAGUAUAGGGGUGUGCGUGUGCGCAAUGGAGAGAAAGUAUCUAUAGAAGGAUUUUGUUUUCUGAUUUUCUAAUUUAGAUCAAUAUUAGUUAUUAUUCCCUCCAUCUUUUAAAAUUAUGCUUGUUUCUAUUUUCACGCAAACUAAUUAAAUGUAAUUAAUAUUUUUGAAUAAUAAAUUUGACCUAUAGGUAGUAGAGGGUAAAAGUUUUUAAUUUUUAAAACUAAAUAAAUAAUAAUUAAUAUUUCUUUGUUUAUUUUAUUUUUUUUAUCAGUUUCAUUUCAUCUGUGGCCAUUUGGGUAUUCUAUAAUGUUUUAUAAGAUUCUUUAUUGACUCAGCUAGUUAAUUAACUUUGUUUUCUAACUAUAUGAUUUACAGACAAGAAUUGCUAUGGCAUUGCCCCAUGCCUGUGUGAGCUGCUACUAUGUUUGUUAUGCAGAAAAUCCUGACAACAGAUUAUUCGAUAAAACAAUCAAAGAACGCCAAGAAUUGAUAAAAUCUGGCCGCGAUGUGGUGGUUCCGACGCCUAGAGUACCCCGGCGGUUUGCAUCAUAGUUCAUAAGCCAAGGCAAGAUUUUUCCAGGAAAAUGUGCAGAAGCAAAUUAAAAUUUGUGGUCACAGAUUGAACAUACUGUCAAAAAUGUACUAUUACUAUAGUCCCUUUCAAUUUGGGGUCCAGUAAUUCAGAAUUCAAGCUAAUCAAGCUAGAGAUGAGACAAUUUAACAUUAUCAUAUUUGCAUAUUCAUUUUAGGAUAUUCCUUAUUCCUUGAUUAAAGAGUUCCUCCAUUAUUUUAUUUAUUUAUUUAUUUAUUUUUGUUCAGUUUUAUGGUAAAUUAAAAACACUUGCCAUAGUUUAAUGUAAUUUUAGUAUCUGUUUAUGCAAUCUCCAUAUGAGUUGUGCAUUUUAUAUUAAUCAAUUCUUUUUUUUUUUUUCCUUAUCAUAGUUAAAGAAUUAAAAUAUGGGUUUUUCUUAAAUAAAAUAAUGCUUAGAACAGAAAUGGUGUGUUAGGUUUGCCUUCAUUAAAAUAUUGCACAAACUUAUCAAAAAUCAAAACAAAAUAAACUAAAAAGUACAAAAUAGACUAUUUUAAAAUACUUCAUGUGCAAUCGUAGAAUGAUUGAGAAAAUAAUUUUUUUAAAAAUUAUUAAAUUAAGUAUAAUCUGAUUGAUUUCGUAAUUUUUUUAAAAAUUAUUAAAUUAAGUAUAAUCUGAUUAAAUUUUUUUCACCAACACCAAGGAUGCAAGUUUUUUUUUUUUGGAUAAUUACUAUAUUAUCCUUAAAUUUUUAUUAAAUACAUUAAUAAGGACUUCGGCUUUCAAAAUUACACUAUUUAAUCCCUGUAUUAUAAUUUUGUUAUACUAUAAGUUCAAACAGUUAGUUUUUUUAUUAAGCAAUUAUGAAAUAUCAAACACCCUUGAAAGUAACUACUAUAUAAGGACUAAAUAGAGUAAACUUAUGAAAAUUGAGAUCUUUAUUAGUGUAUUUCAUCAAACCAUAAGGACUACAUAAUAAUUAUGUUUAGAGGUUAUUUUUGACAUUUCACAGUCACUUAAAGGAAAAAAUUAACAAUUGUAUUUUAUAGUAUAAUAAAAUUGUAAUGAAGGACUAAAUAGUAUAAUUUAAAAUACUAAUAUCCAUACAUAUUCGAGUAAAACCUAGAGACUACAUCGCAAUUGCUCCUUUUUUUUUUUUUUUUUUUUUUUUUUUCCUAAUUGAAAUUAUAUUAGAGUUCCUCAUCAAAUUAGCAACUUCUAAAUAUUCAAAACAGAAAGAUGAAAUGUUUUAUUGAAAUUUGAAUUUAUAAUGUAAUAAAUACCAUCAAGAAAGUCAUCUUCAAAAUUGCAUAAAGCCAUCUCUCUCUCUUUAAAAAGCCAAAAAAGGUUUGAACUUUGAAGGAAUACAUUGAAUAGGACAGGCACUGUGUAUGUAAUCAUAACAUAUAGGAAACUCUUCAAUUAUUGAUUAUUUCUUCCAUGCUCAAAAAAUGAAGAUUUUAUCUAGUGGGUUAUGGAGUAGAUUAGAGGCCAAGACUUUGACUUUUCAUUGCCAUUUUGACUGUUUGUAUUAUAUUCCAACUCUACAAAACAAGAAACAUAAAAUAAUUAAUGAAGCAAUAAAGCAGAGUCCUUUCCAUGAAUGUCUCUCUCAAAUAAAGGCCAAUUAGGUACUUUUUUUGUUUUUUCUUUUUUGAUGAUGCUAUGGCUAGAAGGAUUAGGUGGAGAAGGAAUAAUUUGGAACAUUAACAAUAUAGCAAGAGGAAAAUGCAAUUCAUUUUCCAAAUCACAUAUGCUAAUUUCUUUUGAUUUAACUAAUUAUGAAUGCUUGUUUUGAUUUAGCUAAUUACCAACGCUUGAAUUGAGAUAAUAUUUAAAUAAAACUCUAUUUUCAGUUGCAAUUUCAAAUUUCGAAUAUUGAUCUUAUUUUUUAUUUUAUAAUUUAUAAAAAUUACAAAAAUAUUUAUUGUCUUACAGUUCAUUACAAGAAUUAAAAAAACCUACAAAAAUUCGAAUGUUGGAAAUUAUUAAUGCUAUUUUUCACAUGAUUAAUAUUUUUUUUUUUUGUGCAAUAAGACAAUAACUAUUAAUAUUUCAUAUUUCAUUUAGGCAUAUGGCAAUCUAAUUUAUUUAUAUUUUAAUUUGAAAACUAAAUUAUAAAAAAGGUGGAUCAAUGCCAAUAUGCAUUCACCCAAGAAGUGCAUAUAAAAAUUAAUAAUCUCAAAAAAAUAUAUUAACAAAAAAAAUAAUAAAAAAGAUCAUUUACAUCAUGUAGAUACAUCAAGCGAAAAACUUUAGCAAAUUCUAUAAUCAUUACUACAACGAGUAAUAAAGUAUAAAUGAAAAUAAUAUAUAUAUAUUUGGAUGCCUCAUGCAAGUAUUAAAAGAAAUAAAAGCAAAGAAAUUUUUAAAUUUUGAAUUUAUUCCAAAUAUGAAAAAACCUAUAUUUGCAUUUCUAGUAUCAAUGAAAGAUUCUAGUAAAGAGAAACUGCAAAUUCGCAUGCAUGGAUUAGUUUAUUCUCUCAUUUCUUGAAUUUCCAUACUCUGAUGUACUUGCUAUUGUGUGUGGUAACCACCUUCUUCAUUCCAACAGCCAGGCAAGUGAUUGAAGGUCGAGCACUUCUAGGAAUUCGAUCAAUGUUGAUGUCACUAGGGAGUUUUCGCCCUUUUCUUCUUUCAAUUACUCCAUGUGCAUAUCUAGAGGAGCUUGAUGAGGUAUCAUGGUCGACAGUAUAGCUCGAGAGAACAACUCCUGAGUCCUGAUCCAGAAUACGCAGCACCCCGUCUAUUCCACCGGCUACUAAUGCUGAUUUGUCAUUUGUCAGGUGCUGCAAAGAAUAUAUAACAUUUGGACUCACUCGUGUCUCCCAUAAUUGUCUCAUCAUCCUGCAAGAUAACAAUAAAAAAUCAAAUUGCAACCAUGGGCAGGAGCUCCUAUAACAAAUAUGCCAUAGUCAGUUUCGACCUAAUACUGAAAUAAGGCAAGAACAAAAUCAAUUAUCAGAGCAGCCAUUUUGAUAAUCAACCCUACAGAGUAACAGGAUAAAGCCUCUGUCAUGUUUACUUCUGCUACAAACUAGCUAUGAUAGUACAAGUCCUAGAACCUAUAUCACAGUUUCGCUCUGGAAGCCUACUCAAUCUGUGUAUGGAUGACAGGAUACGUCACAAGCAAAUGUCCUAGCAGCAGAGUAAAGAAAAGAAAAUAGCUUGUCAAUAUCUCAUUCUACAUUCACAUAGAGCGCAACAAUGAAGGCCACCGACAAAAAUUUAGGCUGGGUCAGAAUUCAAAGUACACUAACUACCCAGUCAUCAUUUUUAACUCUGGCAGAAACAUCUAAUUUAGUGAUUGAAAUAUCCUACUUAUUGCUACCACAGAUAUUAUAUUACGGAGGAAUGAAAAAUAAAAGUUAUUCAUCUGGGAACAGUGAAUUGAUACCUGAGGUCCCAACAAGAUGUAUAUCCAGCUGUUGUUCCAGCAAACACUAGAUGAGAACGAGGGUUGAAACAUAAAGUCUUUAUGCCUGUACCAGGAAGUUGAAUCAGAAAUUCAGAAUUAUGUCAAGUCGCUUGUAAUGUGCAGUGCAUUAUUAGUUAAAGAGAAGGUGCAGUGGAAAAUUUAUCAUGUCUCAAACUGGCAGAUUAGGAAUCAAGAAAAGCACUCAGAGCCUGAAGAAGAAGCUGCAAGGAAACCACUGUUUUUUUCUUAUGAAUAUCUCAUCUGUUAUUAACCAAAAGGCAAGAAAGCAACUGCUUAAAAAAAGGAAUGAAAGAAUAACUGUAAAGAAUGCAAGAACACAUGAUGAGAAUGCAAUCAUAAUCGUAGUUAUUCUUGAUAGAGUGAAAAACAGUACGACCUGUAGAAUCAGUGGAUCUCAGUGUAGCUGCCCACUUAUCAGAUGAAUAACCAGACACCAUGAUCCUCCCUAGUGACGAACCACUAAGAAUUAACUGAUCAUCCCCCAAACAUAAGCAAGUCACAGGCUCUGGAUGCAUCCUACAAUUUGGAGAUGAAAACAUAACCAAAAAGAAUCCAUACAGAAAAAAAUCUUUAAAAAAAUGUAAGAAAUCAGGUUCUAACAUAACAACAACAUAAUAAGAAUACAGUCUACUGUCUUCUAUUUCGCAGGCAUUCUUCUACUAAACAAUUUAUUCAUUUGCCAGUGUCUAAUAGUCUAUCCAUUUUUCGCACACGUCCAGAAAUUGAAAUGGCUUUCCAAGAAUUAAUUGUCUGACCAUAACAGACCACCUUCUCUUGUAUGUUCACUCAAGUAAUAGAAUUUAACAUCCGAUGAUCUAAUGCACGAAGCAUCCGAUGUUUGUGGGGCUCUAGAGGGGGUUGAUGAAUAACAUCCAAGAAAAUUUUAGCUGUACAUACCUAAUGAUUUUAGAACAUUUCCUACUGUACAUAUCAAAAACACGAGCUGUCCCAUCCUCACAUCCAACAACAGCUUCUGGAUCAAAGUAACUUCAAGCAAAGAAUACAUCGAGUUAUUGGUCUGCUCAAAAGAAACCACACAACCUUGCACAAAGUUGAAGUCUCAAGACAAUUCAACUGUGAAAUAAAUGAAUAUAAAAUCCAGUAUUGCUCCAAGAAACAUUAGCAUAAUAACAAAAUUUGCUUCUGUCCCGCAUGCAUAAACCCUUCAUAAACGUGCCUUCACGAGAGGGAAAUGUAGUCAUCUUUCCAUUUCGCCUCCAUAAGCAUAUUCGUGUGCCAACCAAACCAACAAUCUACAAGAACAUGCAUUAAGCAAUUGGGAUAAAAACAGACACAUUACAUCAAUGCCUCCCAAUAUGAGAUACUUCAGAAUAAUGACAAAUUACUAAAGGUACCUUGCUCUCAUCAAAAUCAAAGUCAAUUAAGGGGCUUGCAUCUUGGAUUGAAUAUUCUUCCAUACAAUUGUAUGUUUCUAAUGACCAGAGACGCAUAACCUACCAUGAUAGCUAUACAAAAGUCAGCACAAUUGAGUUAUAUAACAUAUAUCACAUUUUGAUUUAGGAGAACAUCAGAGAUAUGCCACAGAAGCAAUCACAUCAAAAUAAGUUUAAGUUCUAGAACAAACAUAUAGCUAGCAAGUACUUUAGACAACUUUUACUGGUGUCAAACAUGACAUACGAAACAUUGUGUGUGUGUGAACAGGUCGAUAAUUAGACUAAAGUCAUCAGUAACAGUAGGUUAACGCCACCAUUUCAAAACUAUGUAAAAGAGAAGGUCACCAAAAAUUCAAAUGGAAGGAUAUUAAAAGGUGUGGAAUCCCACCAAUAUUUCUUUAAUUUCUCCCACUGCACCCGAUUUGUAAACGAAUUUUUUAAAACUAAUCCAAAUAAAUGAGCUUGUUAAUUCACAAACUAAUCCACUACUCCAAAAUUGAGGUUGGCUAAAUGAGAUUACAAUAUCUAGUCGUCUAUCCAAGAAAUCAAACAAAACACAAACUAAGAGCUUGUUUGGCAUAAAUGAAUUCCAUGAAAUUUCAUGGGAUUCAUUGACAUUUACAAAGCCAAUUUUUCAAAUUUGGUAUAAAUAAAAAUUCAUUUGGAAUUCCAUGUUUUAAAUUCUACAGAAUUGGUUUUUCUUGAACCAAAUGCUACAAAAAUUGGUAGAAUUUGCAAAUGAAUUCUCAACUUUAAAGGAACAGAAGUUACUAAAGGUAAUGAAGUUUAAGUACAAGACAUCAAAACAUAUUUAGAAUGAAUUCUAUGAAUGAUCCAAGCAUGAAUUUCCAUUUAUCAAUGAAUUUUUUUAAUGAAAUUCAUUUGCAAAAUGGAAUGAAUUCCAUAUGAAAAUUAUUCCAAAACUAUGUAACAGAAAUAGUAGAGAGUCAUCCAAUAGAAUCUGCUUUAAUAAAAGGGUAAAUAACAAAUAUGACUUAUAAUAAAAAACCCACCUAUCAGACACCAUAUUUAAUUAAAAAAGUGAUCAUACCUUGUCCCCCACGCCAGUAAGAAGCAAGCCCAUCUUCAUUCGACACUGAUCAACCCUAAUACAAAGCAAGGUUAGAGAAUUAACAUAUACAAGCUGCAAACUCCUGCAUAUAUAUACCCACUAAAUAAACCCCACAUAUUACUCAAAAAAAAAAAAUCAACCUUUUAUUAUUUCGUCAUCUUUCCAUAAUAAAUUUGAUACCAUUUUUAUCAACUCAACAGAAAAAUAAACAUAAAAUUGUAUUCAGCUGAAAAUUAGCUGACAAGAAAAUAAAUGGGAAGAAAAAAAAGAAGAGGAGAAUUUCAAUAAUUACCCAAGUGAAUGGCCUUUCCAUUGGUCAAUAUCAACAGAAGAAGCUUGAACUAAAGAUUGUCUAUGAUGCUUCAUAGCUAGCUCCUCAAAGUACAUAUUUAAAGUCCUCUCUGAACCGCCAUCAAUAUUUGAAAUUCCUAAAUAAUUAUCCUUCUGCUGCUUCAAAUAAAGCGCUUGCAGUAACUUUGAUCCUUUGAUUAUUGUAUUCCUUUAAAUGCAUAAAAGAGAAUAAAAAAUAAAACAAAAUUAUACACAAAUAUUUGGGGAAGGCAGAGAGAAGGAGAGUAAAACAGAAUUUACCAAGAUUUGCAGACAGCAGAACAGCGAACGAGGUCAAAGAGGUCCAGGACUGAGAAUAUUAUGCAAAGGAUGUCAUGCUCCAAAAAUUGGAUAGUGGUCGGACCUCUCCAGCUCCUCUUCUUCGCCGGCGACCGCUUUCCGCCUGGUGUGGGGCUCAUUAUCUUCUCUGUGAACUGGGUUAAUCAAAUCAUAGAAGAUCAGAGGAAACGAGCGACUGAAAAUCUCACAAAGCUGGAAGGGUGAACGUCGGCAACGACACAAUAAACACGCUCACAAAAUAAACCCAAUAUCAGAUGUAUUGUCGUUUUUAGGUAAUAUAAUUUAUGAGUUUAAACAAAAAGAAAAAUACUAUUUAGUCCCUAGAAUUUCUAAAAUAAAUAUUUCAAUAUAAUAAAAAAUUAAAUUUUUAUUUAUCUAUGUAGUGCAAAAUUUAGAACGAAAGUGAGAAAUUGGGAUGUCUAAAUACAAGUAUAACAAACUGCCAAGCACAGGAUAUUUUUAAUGGUUUACUCAAAGUAAAUGCUUUCUUUACCAUUAACAAUUAUGCAUUUUAGGUCAAACACAAUACCCGUGAUUCAUCACAAGUAACGAAGAGUAUUUGAUUCAGUCAAUUUGGUUAAUUCGAUUGAUUCGGUUAAUGAGAUCGAUUUGGACCGAUGAAUAAAUAUUCGAUUAGAAGUUCGAUUAUUGAAAAACUAAUGCAGGAGCCGCGAGUUCUAAGGGAUAACUUUUAUUUCCCUCAGAGAACUUCAACUCCCCUUCUUUCAGUAGAUAAUUGGCUAUUUCUUUCUCGUUUUAUCCCUAUAGUCUAGGCAGUGGAUUAACAAGCAUUAUGCUUUGCUUUGUCUACCAAUUCCUGUAACUCCAGUUGAAAGAUGAGACAAGACUCUUAUUCUCCUCCCAUCUAUAUACCACAUGUGAUUAUGGGUUAAAGGUUAAAUUAAAAAUUAAUUUAACUGAAUUAAUUAAAUUAAUCAACUUUCAAAAUUAAGUCGUUUGAUUAAGUAUAUAAUAAAAUUAAAAAUAUUUUAUUUUUUAUUUUAAUUAAAUAGUUAUUAAAAUGGUUAAAUUCGGUUGAUUAAUCAAGUUUUCAUUUUAUUUAAUUUCAGUUUAGUUAAUUAAUUCCACCAAAACAGUUUGGUUAAGCAAAAAAAAUUUCAAUUAAUUUAGUUAAAUUAAUGAUAAAAAUUAAUUCGAUUAAAACUGUUCAAUUAAAAAUUAAUUCGAUUAAUUAAAUCAAACUAAAAAUUUCAGUUAAAAAUAUUACUUAAAUACACAAUUAGCGAAAUGCUGACCCGUAAAUUCACAAAUUACGAAAUCGUUUUCUUUUUUAUUUUUUCAAAAAUUUCCUUUUAAGUUUUAUCAAAUAGAAAAAAGAAAUUUUUUCAUUUUUUUUUAUUGAAACUUUUUUAAAUUCUUUAACUUUACAUGAAACAAAGGAUAUGUUUUUUCUCCUCUGGACAUUUUUAUUGGGUGGACAACAAUCCUGUUAAAGAUUGUCUUGUCAACUUCAAUUUGGAUAAAUGGGACCGCAAAUACCAGAAAAAGCUGUUUUCUUCACGUGUUUAUGAAAGUUACCAGAGAGUAGGAAGAAGAAAAUAAAUUGGUAUUGUACAAGAGUUAAAGUAAACGUCCUUUCUUGAAGAUUACAUAACUCUUCUUGGCCAUUUUAGCUUCUCGCUUUCAGUCACCAACCAAUUUUUUUGUUUGCUAUUGCAUCUUCCUUCCUUUGGAGUCUUUGAUAUUGCAACUCCCGUUUCAAUCACCAACCAAUUCUUCAACUGCUCGAAUUUUCUGCUGAAAAUUUUGGUCAUCCUCUCUUAAUUUGUGAUGGAAAUUGCAGUUGCUAUUGGAGGUGCUCUUCUAGCACCUGCCUUUGAGUCUUUGUUUCAUAAGUUAGGCUCCCAGGAUUUGCUCAAUUAUGCCCGUGAAGGACAUGUGCUGACUGAAAUCAACAAGUGGAAGGAGAUGUUGAAGAUCAUUUAUGGGGUUCUUGCGGAUGCAGAGGAGAAGCAGAUGGUGAGCAGGGCGGUGAAGACGUGGGUAAGCCAGUUGAGGAACCUGGCAUAUGAUUUGGAGGACAUUCUUGAUGAGUUUGAUUUUGAGGCUCGGCGAUCCAAGUUGAAAGCUAAAC